GAUGAAGAACGCAGCGAAAUGUGAUACUUGGUGUGAAUUGCAGAAUCCCGUGAACCAUCGAGUUUUUGAAUGCAAGUUGCGCCCGAAGCCAUUAGGCCGAGGGCACGCCUGCCUGGGCGUCACACGUCGUUGCCCCCCCAUCUACUCCUUCGGGAUUGCGGGGGGCGGAUGAUGGCCUCCCGUGCGCCUCGCCGCGCGGUUGGCAUAAAUGCCAAGUCCUCGGCGACGCACGCCACGACAAUCGGUGGUUGCGAAACCUCGGUUGCCCGUCGUGUGCGGUCGUCGCGCAUCGAGGGCUCGAAAAAAUUGCCGGGUUCCGGCUCGGCUUUCAACGCGACCCCAGGUCAGGCGGGGUUACCCGCUGAAUUUAAGCAUAUCAAUAAGCGGAGGA
rnacentral:misc_RNA from 1 species